GCCAGGCGUGGUGGCUCACGCCUGUAAUCCCAGCACUUUGGGAGGCUGAGACGGGUGGAUCACUUGAGGUCAGGAGUUCAAGACCAGCCUGGCCAACAUGGCGAAACCCCGUCUCUA
ensembl:misc_RNA Metazoa_SRP Metazoan signal recognition particle RNA